rnacentral:rRNA from 1 species
UACGUAGGGUGCAAGCGUUGUCCGGAAUUAUUGGGCGUAAAGAGCUCGUAGGCGGCCUUGUCGCGUCGCUGUGAAAACCCGGGGCUCAACCCCCGGGCCUGCAGUCGAUACGGGGCAGGGCUAGAGUCCGGCAGGGGAGGACGUGGAAUUCCUGGUGUAGCGGUGAAAUGCGCAGAUAUCAGGAGGAACACCGGUGGCGAAGGCGGGUCUCUGGGCCGGAACUGACGCUGAGGAGCGAAAGCGUGGGGAGCGAACAGG